GUCCUGUUCUUUUGAUGGGAUCUGAGCAGAUGUUGCCUCUCUCUGUGAACCUUUCUUUGAGUAACUUCCAAAAGAAUGCACCUUUUUGCACUUUGGGAAAAUCUGAACUCUCUGAGGGGAAAAAGGAGGGAGAUUGAACAAGUUGCCAAUGUGAAGUAUUGGAAGAGUGUUGUCUGAAAGUUUCUGGGACAGAGGGCUGUUUUAUUAUCUCGUUCUUUGAUUUUAAUAAGAAGUGGAGACGACCCUCAAAACAUUGUGAGUAAGGACGAGGAUUUCUCCUCCUGUCCAGGGCCUGUCAUGGAUGAGGAGACUCAGCACAGCCUUGAAUGCAUCCAGGCUAAUCAGAUUUUUCCCAGGAAGCAGCUGAUCCGAGAGGAUGAGAACCUCCAGGUCCCGUUCAUUGAGCUUCACGGUGAGAGUACAGAGUACGUCGGACGAGCGGAGGAUGCCAUCAUUGCGCUUUCGAACUACAGGCUUCACAUCAAAUUCAAGGAGUCUGUUGUGAACGU